GGGGAAUAUUGCACAAUGGGCGAAAGCCUGAUGCAGCAACGCCGCGUGAGGGACGACGGCCUUCGGGUUGUAAACCUCUUUUAGUAGGGAAGAAGCGAAAGUGACGGUACCUGCAGAAAAAGCACCGGCUAACUACGUGCCAGCAGCCGCGGUAAUACGUAGGGUGCAAGCGUUAUCCGGAAUUAUUGGGCGUAAAGAGCUCGUAGGCGGUUUGUCGCGUCUGCUGUGAAAACCCGAGGCUCAACCUCGGGCCUGCAGUGGGUACGGGCAGACUAGGGUGCGGUAGGGGAGAUUGGAAUUCCUGGUGUAGCGGUGGAGUGCGCAGAUAUCAGGAGGAACACCGAUGGCGAAGGCAGAUCUCUGGGCCGUAACUGACGCUGAGGAGCGAAAGCAUGGGGAGCGAAC
rnacentral:rRNA from 1 species